UUGGGUGGCUGAAUUAGAGAUCGGCGCCUGUUUUUUUAUCUAUAAUGUUUUGGAGUAUUACUAUGUCUCUAAGUGUUGAAGCGAAAGCUAAAAUCGUUGCGGAAUUCGGUCGUGGCGCU
rfam:Brenneria goodwinii strain OBR1 genome assembly, contig: Contig